AUUGAACGCUGGCGGCAGGCUUAACACAUGCAAGUCGAGCGGGGGAAGGUAGCUUGCUACUGGACCUAGCGGCGGACGGGUGAGUAAUGCUUAGGAAUCUGCCUAUUAGUGGGGGACAACAUCUCGAAAGGGAUGCUAAUACCGCAUACGUCCUACGGGAGAAAGCAGGGGAUCUCCGGACCUUGCGCUAAUAGAUGAGCCUAAGUCGGAUUAGCUAGUUGGUGGGGUAAAGGCCUACCAAGGCGACGAUCUGUAGCGGGUCUGAGAGGAUGAUCCGCCACGCUGGGACUGAGACACGGCCCAGACUCCGACGGGAGGUAGCAGUGGGGAAUAUUGGACAAUGGGGGGAACCCUGAUCCAGCCAUGCCGCGUGUGUGAAGAAGGCCUUAUGGUUGUAAAGCACUUUAAGCGAGGAGGAGGCUACUUUAGUUAAUACCUAGAGAUAGUGGACGUUACUCGCAGAAUAAGCACCGGCUAACUCUGUGCCAGCCGCCGCAGUAACAC
rnacentral:rRNA from 1 species